rnacentral:lncRNA from 1 species
GUAUUUCAGGACAGCCAGGAGGGGGCGCACAUCCGCCGAGAAACUGUGAGCAAGAGCGUCUGUGCUGAACCAUGGCGCCACCAGAGGGCGCGCGAUCCCGCCGCAACCAACUUCCCGCUGAGGUGCCAGAAGCAGCGAGGAGCUUCGACUUCCUCAGGGCAGCACGGGGGUCGCGUUAACUUGGUGUUCUUCAUUGAUGAUGAUUAUUCCCCACCUUCUAAGAGACAAAGACCAACGAGCCACCACAGCCACCAGUCCCAGAACCCGCCAAUGCUGGGGAACGGAAAAUGAGGGAGUUCAACUCUGGCCCUCACAAUCCAGUGGAGGAGACGAAACUCAUCUGCCUCUGUCCCUCUGGGCACGCCUCAUGCCAGGUGCAUCUGUGGACAGGGGCCAUGCUCCUGGGCUUCCAAAGUUGGAGAAAGCUGCCAGGCUCAGGUCUGAAGGCCAGAAUUCUACAGUAAGUCCUACUGAGUCAAGGUGGGAGCAGGGUCGGUAGCUUCCGAGGCUCUGCGGGAGAAUCCGUUUCCUGGCCGUAGAGGUGGCCUGCACUCUGCAGCUUGUGCUGCCCGUCUCGAAUGACUGGAGUUUCCUGCUUCUGUCACUACACCUCCCACCCUCUCCAUCACCUGCUCUGCUCUUACAAGGAUCCGAAGAAAUGGAAUCAUCGUAUCGCUGAUCUACGUAAACAAACUGAAGAAUUGUCUGAAAGAAAAUAUGACAUGAACUUAUGAAUUCAACAGGUGAAGAUUUACAACUUGAUAAAUCAACUUUGUCAGCUCGAGCUGUAAAAGCCAAAGGUCCGGUGAUGAUCCCAUACCCUUUUUUCCAGUCUCAUGUUGAAGAUUUUUAUGUAGAAGGCCUUCCCAAAGGAAUUUUUUUUUUUUUUUUUUUUUUGAGAUGGAGUUUUCACUCUUAUCGCCCAGGCUGGGGUGCAAUGGCGCAACCUUGCUGGUCACUGCAACCUCUGCCUCCUGGGUUCAAGAAAUUCUCCUGCCUUAGCCUCCCAAGUCACUGGGAUUACAGGUGCCCACCACCACACCAGGCUAAUUUUUGUAUUUUUAGUGGAGAUGCGGUUUCACCAUGUUGGCCGGGCCAGUCUCGAACUCCUGACGUCAAGUGAUCUUCCCGCCUCGACUCCUGAUAUCAAGUGAUCUUCCCGCCUCGGCCUCCCAGAAUGCUGAGAUUACAGACGUGAACCCAUGCCUGGCCAGGAAUUUUGUUUUUUAGGAAGGCUUUCUACUAAUGGAAUUCCUGGCCUUGAGAGGAUGUUACUUUAGAAGGAAAGGAUUUUUUUGUUAUUAAAAGCUGGACCUACCAUGAAAGACUUCUGAAUCCAGGAAGAGAAACUGACUGGGCAACAUGUUAUUCAA